rnacentral:lncRNA from 1 species
UGUCAGUAGCACCUAUCCCCGGCCAUCACAAUAAAACAUGUCUCUAGACUUUGCUAGAUGUCCCUGGGUUGUUUCAGAAGACAAAAUCAGACCCGUUGAGAAUCACUGCUACAGAGAAUUCCAGAUACUCAAGGUUGGAGAGCUACUAACCCAGUACAUGAAUUCCCAGUGUAUCUUUCAGUGUUCUGAACCUGUAUUUUACAUUUUCAGAAAAGUUGACCACAGAAGCAUGUUUAUAUUGUAUUAAAACAAACUAUUUUUCUGGAAAGUUUUCCCAUUAAGCGUCUAACCUCCAAGCAUCGAAUCCCAGGCCAAUUUGUUUCAAAGUACCAACCUGGAGAAAAUGCCCUGGAUUUGGAAGCAAAGUAUUGAAUGUUGGAAGUCUGAAUAAAGGAAUCAUACACUGUAUGUGCACCUGAAUGUACUUUACAAGCAUCAGUAGAACACUUCUGAUUGAAGCUUGGUCUUAUGAAGAUAAAAAUUUUAUGUGGACCACAGAUUCUCUAAAAAUCAAUGCUUCCUGUCCUCAAACAUCGGACUCCAAAUUCUUCAGCUUUGGGACGGACUGGCUUCCUUGCUCCUCAGCUUGCAGACAGCCGACUGUGGGACCUUGUGAUCAUAAUACCACAGUCUGGAGGCUAUGAAGUCCAUGAUUAAGAAGCCAGCACGUUUGCUUUCUGGUUCCAAGAUGGCAUACCUUUUUGCUGCUUCCUCCAGAGAGGAGGAACACUGUGUUCUCACAUAGUAGAAGAUGGAAGGAGCAGAUGCAGAUGAGCAUGGCAAUGUGAGAAUAUGUCAGAGGCCCCAGGAUGAAAUGAGCUCAAGUCCCUGAAAUCCCUGUUAGAAGAGUCUUUCCACUGGUUGGGAAUGCUAAUUGUAUUUUGACAACUCAAUGUUUCAGCAACUCAAAAUGUUACAGCUUCUGCAUUGGAAUAAAAAAAGGAAAGAAAACAGAAUUUGUACUCAUAUCAGAAGGCAAUCAAAGAACAUACACAUAAUAUACAUUCUAUUAUAGAGGCAGAAGAACAAGACCAACUAUGCAAGCAUAUUUCAAACCUCUGCUCACCACAUUAUAAUCUGCUAAUAUGCCAUUGGACAAAGCAUCUCACAUAGCCAUAUAUUGUGUCUCAAGAGUCAGAAGGUGUGACCUGUCACCCUGAAGUCAUGACAAAUGUAUAGGGAGAUGAAGAAGAAGUAUGGAAGAAGUAAGAUGAAGAAGAAGUAUGGAAGAAGUAAGGUAAGUGUUUAAUGAGACUGAGUCGCGAAAAGCAUUGCAGCUUCUUGGAUUUCUUAAGUCAGUCUUGGAACUCAGCCAGCAUGUUAUGAGAAAUCCCAUGUGCCUUGCACAGAAGCUCAAAUGAGAAGAAGAAAACCGCUCACACUAUUUUACCAGCCAAGUGAAUAAGCCACUUUGAAAGUGGAUUCCUCAGCCUAGAUGAGCUGCCCAUUUGAUGCUGCAGAGAGGAACCUUUCUCACUGAGUUGCACAGCAGUAGAUAACCAGGGUAGUCAGUAUAAUCUGGUAAUUAAUAGCUUGGAUAUUGGAGAUAAACAGAUGUCAAUCUUGGCUCUACCACUUAUCAGCUCUGUGACCGUAUGCAAGUUUCUUAGCCACUCUGGUUCUUCAGUUUCUUAUUUAUAAAAUGAAGGUAAGAAUGAUAUACCUCUCCUAAACAAGUGAUGAGUGUAACUAAGAUAAUUCAUAUAAACUACAGAGUAAUAGUUCAAUAAAUUGUAACUGCUAUUU